rnacentral:tRNA from 1 species
AUAAGGGUGCCAGAAAGUUAAAUGGGAAUGAUUUAGGUUCAUUUUAUGACUGUAAAAGUCUUCUUAUU